GGGGGUGGGGGUGAUGAAGGGAGAUGCCAGGAGGGAGGAGCCCCUGGAAGCCACUCUGUCCCAGGGGACCUCCUCAGUCACAGCUGCCCCCUUCUGCAGCACAGAGAACACAAAACAGCCUGGAGGAGGCACCGCUGGACGGAUCUUCCAUCUGAUGCCUUCUGCAGACCAUUCAGGGUUGGCCACCCCUGCUUUGGGGACAAGAUAGAAGGAAAGGACCCAGCAAUCUUUGUCAGGCCUAUGUCUCAGAAAACCUCUCUCUAGGAAAUGAAUAAAAAGUCUUGUGGACAUGAAUUAAUCCUGCCUAUGGUAUAUUCAAUCUUUUAGGAAGCAGCCACCAGGUCAAAGAAUUGUUGUUUGGGGGCCUGUUCUGAUUCCAUAUAAAUAUGGAGGAUCCUCUGAGUCUCUACAAAGUGAUGAUGAGAAAACAGUCGCCAGACUGAGCCUCUGUGAUUGAUGGGUCCCACCAGGCAAUAUCCUCUCUACUUCUGUUCCUCUUCACCACUAACAGCUCGGGUGUACCAGACCACCAGGCAAGUCAGUACGUGGCUCAUUCAACACUCUCGGCCAAGAAGGCGAACUCCAAAUGCUGUUGCUGGAGGGGAGCUGAUACGGUCCUUCACGCAGACCCAGUGUCACCAAUAACAGUGAAUCAAGUUUCUGAAUGAAAAACUGCUCUGGUUCCAAAACUGAAU